rnacentral:rRNA from 1 species
CCUACGGGAGGCUGCAGUGGGGAAUAUUGGACAAUGGGCGAAAGCCUGAUCCAGCCAUGCCGCGUGUGUGAAGAAGGCCUUCGGGUUGUAAAGCACUUUCAGUGGGGAAGAAAGCCUUGGGGCUAAUACCCUCGAGGAAGGACAUCACCCACAGAAGAAGCACCGGCUAACUCCGUGCCAGCAGCCGCGGUAAUACGGAGGGUGCGAGCGUUAAUCGGAAUUACUGGGCGUAAAGCGCGCGUAGGCGGUCUGAUAAGCCGGUUGUGAAAGCCCCGGGCUCAACCUGGGAACGGCAUCCGGAACUAUCAGGCUAGAGUGCAGGAGAGGAAGGUAGAAUUCCCGGUGUAGCGGUGAAAUGCGUAGAGAUCGGGAGGAAUACCAGUGGCGAAGGCGGCCUUCUGGACUGACACUGACGCUGAGGUGCGAAAGCGUGGGUAGCAAACAGGAUUAGAUACCCCUGUAGUC